rnacentral:lncRNA from 1 species
UUAGAAAUACCAGACUUAGAUCGAGUUUGCAUUGGAUACUGGUAAGGGGUAGAUGGCGAAGUUGAGGAAUUAGUAACAGGUAAUGAGGUAGACAAAGAUGGUGAAAAACCUACAUGUAAUGAUUCACUAAGGCAAGGUAUGAGUGAAAUAGGCUCUACAGGAGAGAUCUGACAACUAGUGGAAUCUAUAGUUCUAGAGGAUAAAGGUUGAGAUACAUGAGAACUGUUGUGUAAUGAUGGAAUAUCGGUACACACAAAAGAUUCAAGUUGAGGGGGUGGAAUCCUACGAUUUAGAGGCGAUAUGACAACAAGAGGAUCAGAAUUAGUGGAUGAAGAGGAGACAACAGUAGGAGAACUAGAGAACUCAAAAUAUGAAAAAAUUAGUUCAUGAAAUAUAACAUGUCGACUGAAUAAACACGACCAGAUUUUGGAUCUAAACAACGAUAUCCUUUAUAAUCAUAUGCAUAGCCAAGGAAGACACAUCUAACUGAACGAGGUGUAAACUUAUGAGAAAUUUGAGCAGACAAAUUGGGAAAGCAUUCGCA